GAUGAACGCUGGCGGCGUGCCUAAUACAUGCAAGUCGAGCGAACAGACGAGGAGCUUGCUCCUCUGACGUUAGCGGCGGACGGGUGAGUAACACGUGGAUAACCUACCUAUAAGACUGGGAUAACUUCGGGAAACCGGAGCUAAUACCGGAUAAUAUAUUGAACCGCAUGGUUCAAUAGUGAAAGACGCUUUUGCUGUCACUUAUAGAUGGAUCCGCGCCGCAUUAGCUAGUUGGUAAGGUAACGGCUUACCAAGGCGACGAUGCGUAGCCGACCUGAGAGGGUGCUAGGCCACACUGGAACUGAGACACGGUCCAGACUACGACGGGAGGGAGCAGUAGGGAAUCUUCCGCAAUGGGCGAAAGCCUGACGGAGCAACGCCGCGUGAGUGAUGAAGGUCUUCGGAUCGUAAAACUCUGUUAUUAGGGAAGAACAAAGGUGUAAGUAAAUAUGCACGUCUUGACGGUACCUAAUCAGAAAGCCAGGGCUAACUACGUG
rnacentral:rRNA from 1 species